rnacentral:rRNA from 1 species
CGCGUAGGAAUCUACCCAGUAGCGGGGGAUAGCCCGAGGAAACUCGGAUUAAUACCGCAUACGCCCUACGGGGGAAAGGGGGCAGCUUGCUGCUCUCACUAUUGGAUGAGCCUGCGUAAGAUUAGCUUGUUGGUGGGGUAAUGGCCUACCAAGGCAACGAUCUUUAGCUGGUCUGAGAGGACGAUCAGCCACAUUGGGACUGAGACACGGCCCAGACAUCUACGGAUGGCAGCAGUUAAGAAUAUUGGACAAUGGGGGCAACCCUGAUCCAGGUAUACCGCGUGUGUGAAGAAGGCCUUAGGGUUGUAAAGCACUUUAAUCAGAGAAGAAGCAUUUUAAGAUAAUACCUUAAUAUGUUGACGUUACCUGAAGAAUAAGGACCGGCUAACUCCGUGCCAGCAGCCGCGGUAAUACGGAGGGUCCAAGCGUUAAUCGGAAUUACUGGGCGUAAAGCGCGCGUAGGCGGUUUAUUAAGUUGAAUGUGAAAGCCCUGGGCUCAACCUAGGAACUGCAUUCAAAACUGAUAGGCUAGAGUACGAGAGAGGAGAGUAGAAUUUCUGGUGUAGCGGUGAAAUGCGUAGAUAUCAGAAGGAAUACCAAUGGCGAAGGCAGCUCUCUGGCUCGUCACUGACGCUAAGGUGCGAAAGCGUGGGUAGCAAACAGGAUUAGAUACCCUGGUAGUCCACGCCGUAAACGAUGAGAACUAGCCGUUGGACAGAUUUAACUGUUCAGUGGCGCAGCUAACGCAUUAAGUUCUCCGCCUGGGGAGUACGGCCGCAAGGCUAAAACUCAAAUGAAUUGACGGGGGCCCGCACAAGUGGUGGAGCAUGUGGUUUAAUUCGAUGCAACGCGAAAAACCUUACCUACCCUUGAAAUCCAGCGAAGUUUUCAGAGAUGAGAAUGUGCCUUUGGGAACGCUGUGACAGGUGUUGCAUGGCUGUCGUCA